UUUUAGAUCUUUAUUUUGUAAUGCGGUGUGUUGCCUCGUCCGCAUUGUAAUAUAAUAACUGAUGAUAUAUGUCAUUAUAUCAGUUUUAUGUUCAGAACACGGGAUACUGUCAAGUGUCCACUUUUGGACAGAAGCUCGUCAACACAGUUUUGAAAAACAUUUUCACUAUUGCAAUGUAUUUUAAAAGAAUCCUCAAUUGCUGAGAUGAGUUUGAAAAAUCCUUGAUAUGGAUGUUGUAAACCUCCCCUGGAUUUCAUGUUGGUUAAUGUUGCCUCAGGAAUAUUAGAAGAGUUUCCAGCUAAAUAUAGUACAGUUAAUUUAAUUAAGAGCUGUAGUUUCCAAAAUUGUGCAAUUUCCGGUUCUUGGAGGUUUUAAAAUUGAAUAAGCGGAUAAUAUUUUGUAGCCCUGCAAGAAGGUUAAUUGAAGCAAGUAAGUCAAGAUGAAAUAGGAAGUACUACCAUAGAACCUGCAGACCAUGAAUGUUAUCAAGCCUCCUGAAUACCGCGGAAUGUUUUAGUCUAUACUACGUGAUACUACACUUAUAAAAGUUAAAAUAUCAAUCCCUCCGACCAUUUGACCAAUUAUCCGCAAAUGUUGCAGAACAUUUAGCCAUUUAGGAUAUAACUAAAUGUGAAUUAUAGAAGUUACUUACUUCUAAUUUAUCCUGAUUCAUCUUAUAAGUCAGUACAUAUGUAAAUUCAAUUUAUUCUAACAAAUAUUUUGAUAGUUCCAUUGUAGACUUUAUUGUAACCCUAAGACCUUCAGCAGUUUGUUUUGUUAAAAAAUUGUACUCAUGAAUUUUUUUAUUUACUACAUUUAAUUCCCAUUCAAAAAUAAAUUUUAGAGCGUCUUCUAAAACCUAAUAUAUAAGUAGUUUAUAUUUUAUUUUACCAUUGUGUAGGUGUUCAAAAACUACUAUUCAUUACCUUAAAAUCUUUUGAAUUUUUUUUAUGCCCUCUGCUGGAAAUUUUCUGUUCAACGAAUCAAAAAUAUCAUUAAACAUUUUUAAAAAAUGUUCAGUUUCUUGGGAGUCUUUUAACUCUGGAACUUUUACAUAAUCUCUGUGAUAUUUUAAUCCUAUUGAUACAGAAUUACUAAAGUAGUUACAAAUUGUAUACCUACAUUAAUGUUUAUUUAUACCUGGGUAGCUAACUUAACAUUCAUUUUUGAAUGUUAACUGUCCAAAACUAAUGUCUGUUUGCAAUUUUUGGACAAACUCUUUUGGACAUUUGUUUUAAGUCUUCUUGGUGCAGUUGUACAUAAUGUUCCCACUUUAUGUAAUU